GUAUCCUACCCUAUUGAUAACAAUUGCAGGCUAGUACAAGAAAAAUACGUGUUUCAUCAUAAAUCCUACCAUACUAGUACUACUAUAUUUUUGAAAAGGCUAAGGACAUGUGGAUGUGUACAUCCUAAAGGUAUUAAAUCCUACCAUACUAGUACUACUAUAUUUUUGAAAAGGCUAAGGACAUGUGGAUGUACACCUCCUAAAGGUAUAUUUGUAUUGGUAGUAUAGGUUGGAACGGAAUUAAAUAGUUCAGUCAAAAUUUCAUAAGAUGGAUGUUAUCCUAUUUCAUUUAAUUCGACUUCAUUCCACCCUAUACCGCUGUACCACCAAUCCAACCAUGGACUUAGAAAAUAGUCAAUGUAAAUAAGAAUACAAGUCAGGACCCAUAUGUCCACUAAUAGAAUGCAAUACAACAUCGACAAGGUUUAAAAAUUUAAACAUCAAUCAAAACAUACCCUAAGAAAACAGCCAAGCAAUUUAAAUAAGAACCGAGGACCCACAAGUUACCCGAUAAGAAUGCAUAUCUAAGUUUCACACAUGAUGGGCCUGUUUGAAUUGGCUUAUUUAAGCUUAUCUACUUACAUAAGUUUAAUGAGAUUGUUUGAGAGGAUUUAUGAAAACAACUUAUGACAAUUUGCAUAACCUUUUUUCAAAUUAUUUUCAAUAUAGCUUAUAAAAUCAACUUAAUAACUUAAUCUUCUACUAUAAAAAUAGCUUAUGCAAGCUUAUACA
rnacentral:lncRNA from 1 species